GAUGAACGCUGGCGGCGUGCCUAAUACAUGCAAGUCGAGCGAACAGACGAGGAGCUUGCUCCUCUGACGUUAGCGGCGGACGGGUGAGUAACACGUGGAUAACCUACCUAUAAGACUGGGAUAACUUCGGGAAACCGGGGCUAAUACCGGAUAAUAUAUUGAACCGCAUGGUUCAAUAGUGAAAGACGGUUUUGCUGUCACUUAUAGAUGGAUCCGCGCCGCAUUAGCUAGUUGGUAAGGUAACGGCUUACCAAGGCAACGAUGCGUAGCCGACCUGAGAGGGUGAUCGGCCACACUGGAACUGAGACACGGUCCAGACUCCUACGGGAGGCAGCAGUAGGGAAUCUUCCGCAAUGGGCGAAAGCCUGACGGAGCAACGCCGCGUGAGUGAUGAAGGUCUUCGGAUCGUAAAACUCUGUUAUUAGGGAAGAACAUAUGUGUAAGUAACUAUGCACGUCUUGACGGUACCUAAUCAGAAAGCCACGGCUAACUACGUGCCAGCCGCCGCAGUAA
rnacentral:rRNA from 1 species